CCAGCACCCCGAGUGGUCGGGACGAUUAUUGGGCCUAAAGCAUCCGUAGCCGGUCUUGCAAGUCCUCCGUUAAAUCCAGCUGCUCAACAGAUGGGCUGCGGAGGAUACUACAAGGCUAGGAGGCGGGAGAGGCAAGCGGUACUCAGUGGGUAGGGGUAAAAUCCUCUGAUCCAUUGAAGACCACCAGUGGCGAAGGCGGCUUGCCAGAACGCGCUCGACGGUGAGGGAUGAAAGCUGGGGGAGCAAACCGGAUUAGAUACCCGGGUAGUCCCAGCUGUAAACGAUGCAGACUCGGUGAUGGGCCGGCUUUAUGCCAGCUCAGUGCCGCAGGGAAGCCGUUAAGUCUGCCGCCUGGGGAGUACGGUCGCAAGACUG
rnacentral:rRNA from 1 species